rnacentral:rRNA from 1 species
GAUGAACGCUGGCGGCGUGCUUAACACAUGCAAGUCGAACGAAGCACUUUAUUUGAUUUCCUUCGGGACUGAUUAUUUUUUGACUGAGUGGCGGACGGGUGAGUAACGCGUGGGUAACCUGCCUUGUACAGGGGGAUAACAGUUGGAAACGGCUGCUAAUACCGCAUAAGCGCACGGCAUCGCAUGAUGCAGUGUGAAAAAGUCCGGUGGUAUAAGAUGGACCCGCGUUGGAUUAGCUAGUUGGUGAGGUAACGGCCCACCAAGGCGACGAGCCAUAGCCGACCUGGGAGCGUGACCGGCCACUUUGGAACUGAGGCACGGCCAAAACUGCUACGGGAGGCAGCAGUGGGGAGCAUUGGAGGAUGGGCGAGCGCCUGAUGCAGCCGCGCCCCGUUGGCAGAGAAGUUGUGCGGUAUGUUAAGCUCUAGCUGCUGGGAAGAUAAAGACGGUACCUGACCAAGAUGCACCGGCUAAUUACGUG